GUAGUCAUAUGCUUGUCUCAAAGAUUAAGCCAUGCAUGUCUAAGUAUAAGCAAUUAUACCGUGAAACUGCGAAUGGCUCAUUAAAUCAGUUAUCGUUUAUUUGAUAAUACCUUACUACUUGGAUAACCGUGGUAAUUCUAGAGCUAAUACAUGCUGAAAAUCCCGACUUCGGAAGGGAUGUGUUUAUUAGAUAAAAAACCAACGCCCUUCGGGGCUUUUUGGUGAUUCAUGAUAACUUUACGGAUCGCAUAGCCUUGCGCUGGCGACGGUUCAUUCAAAUUUCUGCCCUAUCAACUUUCGAUGGUAAGGUACUGGCUUACCAUGGUUUCAACGGGUAACGGGGAAU
rnacentral:rRNA from 1 species